rnacentral:rRNA from 1 species
GAUGAACGCUAGCGACAGGCUUAACACAUGCAAGUCGAGGGGCAGCAUAGAAGUAGCAAUACUUUGGUGGCGACCGGCGCACGGGUGAGUAACGCGUAUGCAACCUACCUAUCAGAGGGGAAUAACCCGGCGAAAGUCGGACUAAUACCGCAUAAAACAGGGGCACCGCAUGGUGAUAUUUGUUAAAGAAAUUCGCUGAUAGAUGGGCAUGCGUUCCAUUAGGUAGUUGGUGAGGUAACGGCUCACCAAGCCGACGAUGGAUAGGGGAACUGAGAGGUUGGUCCCCCACACUGGUACUGAGACACGGACCAGACUCCUACGGGAGGCAGCAGUGAGGAAUAUUGGUCAAUGGGCGGGAGCCUGAACCAGCCAAGUCGCGUGAAGGAAGAAGGAUCUAUGGUUCGUAAACUUCUUUUGCAGGGGAAUAAAGUGCAGGACGUGUCCUGUUUUGUAUGUACCCUGAGAAUAAGGAUCGGCUAACUCCGUGCCAGCCGCCGCAGUAAUAC